UUUGUUUUUGAGACAGAGUCUCACUCUGCCACCCAGGCUGGAGUUCAGUGGCGCAAUCUCAGCUCACUGCAAGCUCCGCCUCCUGGGUUCAUGCCAUCUUCCU
rnacentral:sRNA from 1 species